GGUGGCUCAGUGGUAGAGCGCUUGCCUGGCAUGCAUGAGGCCCUGGGUUCAAUUCCUCAGCACCA
rfam:Dipodomys ordii contig_39691, whole genome shotgun sequence.